AAAAAUAAGUGUUUGCUGAAUAAACUGACUUUGCCAAGGGGGUGGUGCUUCCAGCAGAGGCUGCAGCCUGGGGAACGUGCCUGGUAGACGUCCAACCAUAGGGACCUUGGCAGCCGUCCAGCCACGGACCAAGGCCCCGCUCACGGUAUCCAGACCGCCCUGCCUGCACCUCUUCCCCUGUGCUUGUCACUCUGUGUAUGGAAAUCUGUUUCCGACUGUCUGUUUUUCUCCCCAAUUUGAAACUCCUGGGAGACAAGUCUGUGUUCUGGUUAUUGUAGCAAUGGUAUUUCUUAAUGAAUAAGCAAGUCUUCUAAUGAUGGUGCUACUAAACACCAAUCACUCCCUCACUUUGCAGCCCUCCUGGUUGACUUCAUGUCAUUUCAAAGGUGAUGCCUUCAGCUGUGGGCUCUCUCCAACCAGCUCCCAGAGGGUAAACCCUCUGUCUCCUCUCUCUGUGCCUUUUCAUGGGCCACCAGGUACUGAUCUACACUCUCCAAGGGCCAUCCCGAGACCAUUGAAUGAAAUGAGUGCACGAUCUGCAGUAGGUCAUUACUGACUAACGGGUUUUUAUUCCUUCCUCGGUUGCCAGGAUGAUGCAGUAGUGACUGCCUGCUGCAGAAGGCUUUCAUCUGCUAAAUGACUCCCAGCAUGUCUGCUGAAAAUCCUGAGCCAUCAGGAACACCACUUCCUCACCCUUCCACAACUUUCCACCACGACACGCAGACCUUCUCCUCGAAGGAAGAAGGUACUAAGGGAGAUGAGCAGAGUUUAACGGAAGGACUUUUACUUCCUGAAGAGGAUGAGACUCCAGAGAAAGAACAGUACCUGGAGGAGGAGACAAAUUACCUGAAAGGAAAUGAGUAUCAGGAUUAUCCGUAUGAACAGGAUUAUCGGGGCCAUAAGGAUCUGCCGAAGAAAGAGCUCCUGGAAGGGAAAAUGUUUCUGUAUGAGAAGUUUCUGGAAGCAGACUUCAAGGCUCAUUCUUCACAAACCCUGCCUGGUCUUAGAGCAAGGUAAAAGUUUUUUGGUGUUUUUGGGGUUUUUUUCUGAUAAAUCAGGGUGAAAAUUCAUGCUGAGGGCUGAUGCUUCGUAGCCUUUGCAGUCCCAAAGACUGGGAGCAGGGGUGAGAGUGGGUAGGGGUGCAGGGAGCAGGACCUCCGAGAAGGAGGGGUUCAGGGGCGGUCUCCUAGAAGUCACACACAAAGGAUCGCCCAAGAUUAUUCCCCUUUGCCAUUCAAGCCACUCACAAGCUGAGAGAGGAGCCCCGGGAUCCAGAGCCCUGGGCACCCAGAACUAUGGAAAGAGCAGGGGCCAGCUGAGUCUAGAAAGGAGGUUAGUGUGGGGAAAGACGGCCAAGGGCCCUGGGCAUCGUUCGUAGUGAAGAGGUGUGUGAACGCCACAAGGAAGUUGCUAUCCUCCUUGCUCAGGCAUAUUCCAAGCUCCAAAUGAUCGUGCAGUGAGUAUUCGUGGAACUCCUGCUACAGGGCUUGACCCACGCUAGAUGGUCACUGCGAGAGCCGUGGACAGAAGCCUCUGUGUGCUCCACUCUGUAGACACCCCUGUGGGGCAGGGGACACGCGAGCUCUGGUUCACAAUCUUCAUCCCCUACAUCCGCCCCAAAGGAUGACUAGGGGAAGGCGGUCACUGACCUCCAGAGGGGAAGUGGGUGGACACUAGAUACAAAGAAAGCGCGAGGCUGGCUGGGUUACACUGAGAAGCAGGAAUGAAACCUGCUCUACUGUGCAGGGAAGACAUAGGCCAUAACUUGAGGACCCGGGGCUCCGUACAGGGGCACCCCCUCCACCUGGUGAGGUCAGCUCCCCACUCCCACCCUCCACCAGCCCCUCUGUAUCAUGCUUCGUGCUUUCAGAGGCUCAGCAUCUGCCAGGACCACCCCACUACGCCAAUCCACAGAGGGAGUGCUUUCCGGAAUCCCCUCCACUUCAGUCACUGACACUCACAGAAGCAAGCAACGUGAUGCUGAAGGGGCCUGACGAUGAAGUGACUGGUCAGGCUGUGAUGGAGAACAGGGACCCAGAGCCAGGCUGCCUGGACGUGGAUCUCAGCUGCUCCACCUCAAACCCAGCAUCACAUAAUUAAUGACAGGUUUUUAACAGAAAGAAAGUUUCCUUUUUUUCCCUAACAUUGUCUUUCUUUUAUUUUUUCCAACAGACUUCAAGGCUCAUUCUUCACAAACCCUGCCUGGUCUUAGAGCAAGGUAAAAGUUUUUUGGUGUUUUUGGGGUUUUUUUCUGAUAAAUCAGGGUGAAAAUUCAUGCUGAGGGCUGAUGCUUCGUAGCCUUUGCAGUCCCAAAGACUGGGAGCAGGGGUGAGAGUGGGUAGGGGUGCAGGGAGCAGGACCUCCGAGAAGGAGGGGUUCAGGGGCGGUCUCCUAGAAGUCACACACAAAGGAUCGCCCAAGAUUAUUCCCCUUUGCCAUUCAAGCCACUCA
rnacentral:lncRNA from 1 species